AUAUUUGAUUGACAAGGUUCAUAUGACCAGGUGACUUUUCUAGGUCUAGAAAUCUGAGGAGGUGACCAUGUAAUAAGAGACAGCCUUCUUGGAAGGAAUGAGUUAAAUAUGUUUAAACCUAGGUUCCUGGGGGAAGAACAUGUCCUCUGGGAGCCACGGCCUGCUCUACCCCACUGGCCUCCAUGUCUGCCUGCGCUGUGCACCCCUCACAGCAGAGCAGGGACGCCACGCCGGGCUUUCCAGUCUUGCUUAGUGUGCUUGGCCAAAGGUGACGAUGACUUAGUGGGCUAAGGUCGUGCCCUCCCUCCCUUCAAAUCAAUAAUUUAAUGUGACUUAUCAGAAAGAGAAAGAACUGUUUACUUUAAAACUCUGGAUCCCAUAAAGGGAGAGGGUAAAGGCCUAAAACCCACAGAAGCUCAGGGCUGCGCCCACAGCCGCCCACACAGGCAGCAGACACGCAGAGGGGAGGCACCAUCCUGCUGGCCAGAGGCCCUGGGCUGGGGAAGACAGAGCUGACUGCAGAUUUUUGAGAGCCGAAGCUUACAGCGCCCACUGGAGAACUAGAGGGGUGCUCAGACACUGCUGUAACGUCCUGAGAAGGGAAAUGGGCCCAAGCCCUUGCCGGAUAGAGCGCUUUCCAAGCAGGUCCUACCAGGGCCUUUUAAACUAGCAAAUUGUUCACCUCCCACUGAUUCUUCCCAACUGAGGCCAAGAGAUUUCUGGAGCUUCUUGUCAUGGGUAGCAGCAUCCGUUAACUGACUAGGAAAUGGGGAUUCUUUUUCUAGGUCCUUCAGGUAAAGACCAAACGGAUGAGCCCAGCUGACUCAUUAGGAGGGGCAGUAGGGAAGGGAAGAACCAGAUACUUAAUCACACAGUUGUGUCCACCAUGGCUGCCCCCAGAGGGCUGUUUGCGUGACUGGUACCAACUAGAAUUCUGGAGUCCGUAUUUGGUGUGAGUCGCAGCAAAACUGCCUAGAUGAAGGAUUCCACCUUGAAGAGAGUAGGUCAGCAGUGGCCCAAGUGGCACUUCCGUGCUGCUUGCAAAUGACCGCACUCUAAAAAGGCAAGUCAGGGUCAGAGACUGGAAAAAGAAGUCAGCCACUUGAUAGGAAAAUAAGCAAAUUGACACAGUCCAAAAGGAAAGAAGGGGGGAAAAAAAGGCAGGCAGGGUGCAACGCUCAAUCCUAUGGAGAAUGAGUGGCAUUCAUGCUGUGCUUAUAACCACACAGUCCAGGCUGAAGAGGGUGAUUUCAUGGACUGCACGUUAAUAAAGGGCUUCUUUACCGAAAAACACAGAGGGAUCAUUUUUAGUUGUUAAGAAAGAGCCAGUUUUAUGACCAAAGUAAGACUCUGGUCAAACGUUAAUAAUGCAGUUAUCCUGUGAAAAAAAUAAAUUGGCCCCCAAUUCUCUCCUCUUCUAGCAUUUGAGGGGAAAUAAAGGAUUAGGUCAAAUGAUUUAUUUCCUCUCCUUCUCCACUGUGGGCAGGAGUUCAUACAUCAGUGAGAAACCAUUUUUAACAGGAAACCGAGAAAACCAGAAGGUAUUUAUUCACAGGAGGCUCCCUUUUGCUAGAAAAUGAGUAUUAUUAACAAAAAAAAAUUGAACAGUUAUUUGCUCUCCAUUUUCCUCCUUUCCUUUGCUCCCCACCCUUUCCACCCACUGCUAUGGUGGAAAAUGACUGAAUAAGAUUUAAAAUCUGAGCACCGUUGGAUGCCUCUGUAUCCAAGAGAUGUUACACUGAAAGCAGAUGACAGCACAUCUAAGUGCCAUAUCCCCAUGCAAAAUAAUUUUCAUUUUGUUAGACUGCAGAAUUUACCACAUUUACUGCUGAUGGAUUGGGAUCUAUGGGGAGGGAGAAGUUGGGGAGGCUCUAUUAAUCUAGUAAUAUUAUUAUGGCUUGUAAUGUGGUCUUCCACUAAGUAUUUGCUUCCUAAAAUUGAUUCCCUCUAGAUUCUUUCUCAGCACUUUGCGAAAAUUGAUGCAAACAGAUUUCCCAUUCAUUUGCAUAGAAUAUCUUUGUUCCCCCUGGCAGGAGGACUUUGUGGGGUGGAUGAAGAACACAAGGCAGUACUUUGUUAGCUCGACUGUUCCAGACACAGAAGCCUGACAUCUUCCUGUCUUUCCACUGCUCACGAUGCUCUGUACUGGUGACCUCUCUUUUCUCUGCUCAGGUCACUGGACGGAGCUGGCAAGCUUCCCUGGUGAUGUUCAGUGGCAAUGGUGGUACGUGGAGGUGAAGUUAACACCUUCAUGGCUACAGAUUUUCCUUAGCAGAGCUGUGGAGUGUGACAAUGGUGUUUGUGUCCAAACUAUCAAACGCCAUUAUCACACUAAAUAGCUACUGUUAGGCAAUCCUUCCGUUCAGGAAAUGCCUCGGCAUCUGUUUGGUAUGGGAAGAAGGUUCAUCUCUGAGCAGCGCUCCCAGUCACGCAUCACUACUGAAUAAAUUCAGGUCCCUCGGUACUCAUAACCAAUAUGUCAUCUGAACUUUGCAUCUCACAUGCAGUUGUUAAAUAUUUUAGCUGAUAAUGAAUACUCUUGUUUUCCUCGGUCAAUAAAAAGAUUGCAGAGUCCCCCAGAGCACCCAGCAUAAGACUAGGCACAUGGUAAUUGUUCAACCCAUGUUUAUUGAGUUGAAAUGAAGUUAGGAAAGUGUUAGAUGCAGAAAACUCAAAUGGGGUUAAAUCAAGGUGAUGCAAACCGCAGGUUUUUGGGCACAGUUAGGUAUGCAGGUCUUCCACUUCUCAUCAUGAAAACACAACCUUCUAAUAAACUUACAUGUGACUUAACUGACCUUUCAGAAAUUCUGGCACAUGUUUGACUUCUACUGAUUUUAAUCAAUCACCAGGCUGAUUACUGAAUUUGUAUGCUAGGUCUCUCUUUCUUAUGUUUCAAUGAAUUACCAUCAGGAAAUUAUAUAUGAACUGUGCUUGAAUUGCCAUAGCAAAUCUGAACAUUUUAAACCCAAGCAGCUUCUAGGACAAUUGAACCAGCUGGAAGGUCUGGUUUGAAACACAUUCUUUCUCUGAGAGACAUUUAAAGUAAGGAGUAGGGUUUGUUUGUGUUGGGCUAAAGCUUAUCUCUCAUGACUUGGUUAAAUGAGUAAGUACAUGUUUAAUCAAAUUGAAAGAGUUGGGGCUACCAGCAGAAAUAAAUUCAUUUAUUCAAUAAGUUCAACCAUUCCUUUAUCAAAAUAUGUGUAUCAAGUAGCAGCCACCCAUGUGGGGAUACUUUUAAAUUAAACAUAUCUGACAUCAUUUCCAAAAAUGGGCAUUCACUGGUUCAUAUUCUGCUUGGAAUUGUAAUUCUUCCAACUAUAUUUAUUAAGGGAACAAAUAAGCAAAACGUUGCAAAAUAACUCCAAGUUCCUUGCUGGAAAGCGCCACGUGAGUGCCAUCCACGCAGCUGUGAUACACGCAAAGGCUCCAAGGGCCUGAGAAGCUUCCACCCAACGAAGAGGGGGUCCAUCCCCACGUGCUCCUCCUGGGGCAUACCACUUCUUCCCUCCUGGCAUCGUCCACCUUCAAGAGGAGAACAAGACCCCCUGAAAUAAUUAUUAUACUGGUAUUUGUUUUUUGUGUAUUCCUGGACAGAGCAUUAACUGAAGGAGCAUUGAUAGAGGUCUGUACCAUUACACAAACCACCCCCAAUCACACUAUUUCAUUUGAUGCAGUGGAACCGAGGGCCAAGAUGACAGGUUGGGGGUUCCUCCCACAGAAGGCAAACUGAGACUGAGAAUGGUUCUGGAAUCUUCUGGUCAUGCAACCACAGCUCAACAUGGGUGUCCUAAAUCUCAGGCUCUGUCUUUCACCUCUAGCCUUCCUUGGCCAGACUAUUCCAAGAACCUCAUGAUUCACUGCUGAGGCUCUGUGCAAGUGGGGUAGUUGUACCAGUAUUUGCUCAGUCUUCUUGGCCCCCUGUCUGCUUCCUCAGGGGGUUCUGAGGGGAAGCCUGUGGGUAAGAGCAAUGGGCCAUUUGACAGUCUGUGCUGUGAGUGUUCAAAAUGCAGAGAAAGCCAAACACUGUGAAACACCAUAAUCAUGACGUGAGGAGGAAGAGAAGGGGUGGCUAAGUGGUAGUUCUGGGGUUAGGAAGAGGGUGGCUGAACCAGACAUGGAGCAGCUAGCUAGUUAUGGGCCACAUGCCUCUGCAUUCAAGGCCCCGGAGUCUUUAGGCGCCAACCUUCCCAGGCUCCACACAAAGUAGAACCACCUCGCGCAUUCCCCUUACUCCUGCUCACCCCAACAUUUUGCUCAGAUGGAAUUAAACAGGGAGCCCUGGAAGGGCAUUCGACAUGUUUCUACUAAGCUGGCUUACACCAUGCCUUAUUAUGCUCCCUGCCUGGGUUAGUUCUGCAUCCAAGCCUGGGCACCACUCCUUCUCUAACUCUCUAAGGAGCACACAGGGACGGCACGCCCGCCCGCCACUCUCCACGGAAAAGCUCCUUCUAACACGGUUCUGCUGCUCCAAGUCCCUGAUUACGGCAUCCUUCUCCAGCCCAGCUUACACCUCCUCCUCUCCCUCUGGGAAGAUUACUGCCAGUGUUCUCCAAUAAAGCAUUCCUGGGGACACAUACUGACUCUGAAUGUAGUCUGCAAGAUGAAAGGGUCCACUUGGAAGUGCAGUAAAAAUCACACUCAAGCCAGAAGGCAGCAGAGAGCCCAGGAGGCCGCAUUGAGAUGUUUCCUUCCCCAGCAGCCAGGCCUUACUUUGCUUUGUGAAUUGUGUUGGUGAGGCCCUAGGAGUCCUUCCACCUUAGUACAUACAGUGUGUGCCUUGAAUGUGACAAUUACCACUCAGGGCCUGCCCAAUGUUCCAUCCAGCCCCAGAGGAAAUUUUGUGAAAUAGCAUAGCAGUUACCCUAUGUAGAUGGCUAUUCUACACUAUUUUUCUAAACUCCUCUUAAAGCUAUGUUUUCCACUUGGCAUACUUCCUUUAAACAUAAGAGAAUGGAAGAUUAGAACUGGAAGCCAGUUUGCAAUUUCUUCCAAUGAGGAAAAAUGAAGCCCAGAAAAGUUGCGGAACCUACCCAAAGUUAGUCUGUUAGUCUGUGGCCGGGCGGGACCCAGGCUUUGCGGCCUGUCCUGUGGUGUUCUGUGCUCACGGCCUGCAGAGCAGGCUCCCAGGGAAGGCAGCACUUGCUGAAUGAGGGACCAGGCACCACGUGAAGUCCCUUUCCUUUCAUUCAUCUGCAAAUGUCCCCUCAGGUGUCAAAGGGACACUCCCUCCUUUGGUAUUCUAGAGCUGGGGGCAUGGGUCCCCCAGCCUGCAUCAUCUGCCAUCCACUGGACAGACAUGGGGUGUACAACCUUGUGCGUGGAAUUGUCUUGGGCUCUGGUGACACAAAGAAGGAGGCUGAGUCCCUUCCCUGAGCUCUCUAUCUAGGAGUUGGAUGGUUACCUAGACGAAGACCUUUAGGCCUCAGGGUGCUAGAUGCCAUCUCAGAGCCAUAGAUAAGGAGUCCAUGGACUUUAAUGACGCCCUUCAUUUCUUUUCAGAUGAAGAAACACUGCAUCUCUGACAUUAUCAUCUUGUUACUGUUGGAAAAAAAACCACUCUUGUUUCCUUUGAUGAGGCAAUUGCCAACAGAUUAUAAAGGGGAUGUUGUCAUGUU